GUUUUCCUUCGGGGUCGGGUGAAAAUCCCAACCGGCGGUGAUGAAGCUUACACGCUUACGAGCCCGCGACCCGUAGCUACCUACUAGCUAUGGCUGAUUUGGUACCAAUCCAAAGCCGACGGUGAAAGUCCGGAUGGGAGAAGGAAAUG
rnacentral:ncRNA from 2 species